UCUGCUUCAACUGAUGUGAACAGCUCUACCAUUCCUCUCUCAAAGAAGAAAAGGUUGAAUCAUGCUACAUAACAAUCAUUCUCUCUUAAUUCUAAAUAAGAGAACAUGACAUCCUACGUGCAUAUUUAGUUGUUGCUGUUUUCAACCUUACCAAAUUUUGAUAUUGCCAAAGUUUGGUAAGGCAACAAACUAAACACACUUCAACCAUUACUAUCUUAUUAAAUUUUGGCAGCUCUAGAAGCUUCUUUUCUUAAAACUCUACUAGAAUUUGGUAAAGACAUCAAACUAAACAAAGCCAACGCUACCGAAAUGUAGUAAUGCCAAAGUGUGCCAAAAUUUAGCAUGGAAGAUGGUGUACCUAAUUUGUUAGUCUGAACUGAAAUUCUAUUAUCGUACAGUUAAUUCUUCUAGGCAUCAAUGUUUAUUUUUUGGAUGUUUGCAUCAUAACCUGAGUACGGGCAGUUCCUGAUAUAUGGGACAAGACUCAAAAUAUCAGGUAAAUCAUCCUCAUAACACAGGAUUAUUGGACACCUCUAGAUAUAAUAAGCAGCAAAUCUCAAGGACACAGCCUUGAAGCAGCUUCAUCUCAGUAUUUCACUACACUACUACAGGCAUCGUGGUCAUGGCUGCUAUUCCAACUUCAACAUCUCCAGUCUGUUCUUUCCAUCAAGCUGUUGUGUGAAGAAUUGUGUCAUGAAAUCAAGGUAACUAAUUGAUCUGUAAUUCACUUUACCAUCUUUCACAAAUUCCGUCAGAGGUCUGAUCACCAUAUUCUCACACGGAUAGUGGAACAGUGAUGCUGAAAUCCGCUCCUUAUUUGGGUUUAUCACGGCCCUGUGCUCAACACUUCUGAACUUUCCGUUACUUAGGAUCUGUACAUAUCAAUAGCACAUCACUCACAUCAGUACAAAGGUGCAAGAGAGGUAGGCCAUCCAACAACAAUUUUCAGAAGCUUUUAGGUACGUUCUUUCUUCUUUGGUGCUUCCACAAGUUCUUUUUUUUAGAUAAUGGAAGCUUUUAUUGAACUCAUCCAGUUACAUCAAAGUUCUUUGACAAGUGAAAGCAUAAUUAGUUCUUGGUCGGUACCUCAAGUGUGUCGCCAAUGUUAACGAUGAAUGCACCAUUCGGAGCGUCUACGGAUAACCACUUGCCAUCUUUCUUGAUCUGCAGGCCCUGCACGUCGUUAACCUGGAGCAGCAGUGUUAGGCCAACCACAUCAGAGUGCGGCGAAAUGCCCAUCACCUUGUCAGAUUGCAGGCACGGUGGGUAGUAG
rnacentral:lncRNA from 1 species